rnacentral:rRNA from 1 species
UUUGGUGGCAAUAGCGAAGAGGUCACACCCGUUCCCAUACCGAACACGGAAGUUAAGCUCUUCAGCGCCGAUGGUAGUUGGGGGUUUCCCCCUGUGAGAGUAGGACGCCGCCAAGC